GACGAGUCUCACAAACGUUAUUCGGAAUUACUGGGCUUAAAGGGUGCGUAGGCGGUGAAGUAAGUCGGGUGUGAAAUACCAUAGCUUAACUAUGGAACUGCACUCGAUACUACUUUGCUAGAGUAAGACAGAGGUGAGUGGAACUGAGGGUGGAGCGGUGAAAUGCGUUGAUAUCCUCAGGAACACCGGUGGCGAAGGCGACUCACUGGGUCUUUACUGACGCUGAUGCACGAAAGCUAGGGUAGCAAACGGG
rnacentral:rRNA from 1 species